AGCAGUAUGGUGUAACGUCUGCACACGGGAUUCCACUAGGCGGACACCGACACAGUGAAUCCCGAGGCCCUUGCUCGAAUCAAGGUGCUGCUC